rnacentral:miRNA from 1 species
UGGCCAAAAAGUUCAUUUGGGUUUUUCUGCACCAUCUUAUGGAAAAACCUGAACAAACUUUUUGGC